GACCGUCCGAGUUGUAAUCUAGAGAAUUGUUACCCGUGCUGGACUGUGUAAAAGUCUCCUGGAAUGGGGCAUCAUAGAGGGUGAGAAUCCCGUCUUUGACACGGACUGCCAGUGCACUGUGGGUGUGCUCUCAAAGAGUCGAGUUGUUUGGGAAUGCAGCUCAAAAUGGGUGGUAAAUGCCAUCUAAAGCUAAAUAUUGGCGAGAGACCGAUAGCGAACAAGUACCGUGAGGGAAAGAUGAAAAGAACUUUGGAAAGAGAGUUAAACAGUACGUGAAAUUGCUGAAAGGGAAACGCUUGAAGUCAGUCGCGUCGGCAGGAAAUCAGCCUUGCUUUUGCUUGGUGUACUUUCCUGUCUUGACGGGUCAGCAUCAAUCUUGACCAUUGGAUAAAGUCUGUGGGAAUGUGGCAUCUCUUGGAUGUGUUAUAGCCCAUGGUCGCAUACGGUGGUUGGGAUUGAGGAACUCAGCACGCCCGCAAGGGACGGGUUUCGACCACGUUUUCGUGCUUAGGAUGCUGGCAUAAUGGCUUUAAUCGACCCGUCUUGAAACACGGACCAAGGAGUCUAACAUGCCUGCGAGUGUUUGGGUGGAAAAACCCAUGCGCGCAAUGAAAGUGAAAGUUGAGAUCUCUGUCAAAGGAGAGCAUUGACGCCCAGACCAGACCUUUUGUGACGGAUCUGCGGUAGAGCAUGUGUGUUGGGACCCGAAAGAUGGUGAACUAUGCCUGAAUAGGGUGAAGCCAGAGGAAACUCUGGUGGAGGCUCGUAGCGAUUCUGACGUGCAAAUCGAUCGUCAAAUUUGGGUAUAGGGGCGAAAGACUAAUCGAACCAUCUAGUACCUGGUUCCUGCCGAAKUUUCCCUCAGAUAGCAGAAACUCAUAUCAAAUUUAUGUGGUAAAGCGAAUGAUUWAAGGCCUUGGGGUUGAAAMACCUUAACCUAUUCUCAAACUUUAAAAAUUUAAAAACAAGCCGUCYYUU
rnacentral:rRNA from 1 species